UUACCGGCUUGACAUAAAGGAAACUUUAUUAAAUACAGGUGCUGCAUGGCUGUCGUCAGCUCGUGUCGUGAGAUGUUGGGUUAAGUCCCGCAACGAGCGCAACCCUGCCUUAGUUGCCAGCAUCUGGGACUCUAAGGGACUGCCGGUGUUAACCGGAGGAAGGUGGGGAUGACGUCAAGUCCUCAUGGCCUUUAUGCCGGGCUACACACGUACUACAAUGGGAUACAAGGGGCAUUGCGAAAGAAGCAAUCCCAAAAUCGUCUCAGUCCGGAUUGGAGUCUGCAACUCGACUCCAUGAAGUUGGAAUCGCUAGUAAUCGUGAUCAGCAUGCACGGUGAAUACGUUCCCGGGCCUUGUACACACCGCCCGUCACACCACGGGAGUCGGUGACCGAA
rnacentral:rRNA from 1 species